ensembl:lncRNA
AUGUACACAAAAACAGGAAAAGGAGGGGAAACUGGGCAUGAAUUUGAGAGACUGGGGCCACACUGGAUGAGGUGGAAGGCCAGACUGAGCCUCAGAGUGGCAAAUGUGAGGUGGCUUAUGAUCUCAGGGGCUUGGAGAGGACAAUCCUUACACUUUCUUUCUGGAGACACAUCUUUGGUCUCUAGCAACAGCUUGGGCAGGACUCUGGAGCUCUGCACGUGGCCUCUGAGGAAGCCCAUGAGCAUCUGCAGAGGUGGGGAACCACCAGCCAUGCUCCACGAACCAGCUGCAGUCACAGAGUGAUAACAUACCCCUGCUGGAUCCCAAGGAAUGGGAUGAAACCCAGGAAAAUCAAUGCCUUUGAGAGGUUUCCCUGGUAGAAGCUGGAUCAACUGCUUUCCCAGAUAGGGGGAUUUUUCUGUCUCCCUGUGCUGUGAUGUGUCAGUGCAAUGUAAGGCAUGGAGCCCCUGCCCUGCCUGAACAGUAAUCAGGAGAGAAUGUUUCUCUGGGAGCCCUGCUCCCCAUCUUCUCUCACCACUGCUUAUGUGACUGGGAAGGAGCACCACAAGCCUGUGAUGAGGGCAUAACCAGUCCUAUAGAAGAGAAUUGCUUCAGAAUUUGAAAUGAGAAAUGCAGCAUGCACAUCCUCCGAAGCCUCCAUGCUGUGAAAAAAACCAAAGUGCCACAACACGUGUGGGGCACUGUUGAAGGAAAAGCGAUGGAUUUCCUCCUGCUGCAGGUUUCCUGCUUCAUUUGUAGGGCUGUGCAAAGGGAGGCACCACACAGCCCAGCACAAGGCAGCUGAGCAAAAAGGGCACAUUGCUAUUGGAUCAUUCUCACCUCUUGCUUGUCCUUCUGCUAGGGUAAGGUGUGUUGAAAGCAAAACCACUGAUUUCCUGCAAAUCAGUCAUGCAGGCACUGUGUUUUGCUGGAGGCAUUGCUUGUGGGGCAGGAAUCAUUCAUGGGGGACAGGAGGUGUAUGGGCACACAUCCAGGAUAAGAGAGACAUGCCUUCCUGAGCAGCCUGUGGGACACUGUCUAGCAGCCCCUUCAUCACCUUUCAGCCUUACUUAGAUCCCUACAGUUCAGUCUGAGGUCUGUUGUGGCAUACACCACUUGCUCUGUGGUCAGCCAAACCUGCAGCACUGAGUUUUCAACUGUGAGCGCACUCACUGAGCCCUUUCACACUGGCAAACCCAAAGACAGAUGUGGUGGAGGUACUUGCACUACCUCCCCAUGCCUCAGCAGUGAGUGACAGCACCUGGCCCCCAGGGUGUUCAGAAACCUUCAUGUGCGCUGCCUACCCAAGAAACUCAUCUGCACUCUGCCCCCAAGGUGAGAGUCUAAUAGGAAUUCUUUGAGACACUGAUCUUUUGUGAGACAGACAAAAAAAAUGCCAUAAGUAACAGCUUUGAUAGCAUUUAAAAUGAAUGCCCAGCUAGUAGCACACACCCCCAGCAGAGCUUAUUUGAAAAUAACUGCAUUUUCACUUAGUUUCCAUGUAGAGUGCUGAAACAACAGUUUUUUAAAGCACUCCUUUUGCUCAGUGGUAUCUGCUUUCCUGCUCCAUGCUUAAUCUCUUUCAUACCCUAGCUGGCUUUUUAUAAAUUGUGGUAUAACUUCACUUAGGCAGGGACAUGCAAGGUGCUUUGGUACUUCCACCACUUUGCUCAGUAAGUGCCCUGAGAGUAUUUGCUGAAGCUUGCACUGCAUUUUAGCUGGUUUCAGUUCAACUGCAGACUUCUACUUUGUCAAAUAAAACUGUUGAGAUGAGUCUGAGUCGGCUCA